UACAGAGGUCCCAAGCGUUGUUCGGAUUCACUGGGCGUAAAGGGUGCGUAGGUGGCUUGGUAAGUUUGAUGUGAAAUCUCCGGGCUUAACCCGGAAAUGGCAUUGAAUACUAUUGAGCUGGAGGUUUGGAGGGGGGACUGGAAUUCUCGGUGUAGCAGUGAAAUGCGUAGAGAUCGAGAGGAACACUAGUGGCGAAGGCUGGGCUCUGGACAAUAUCUGACGCUGAGGCACGAAGGUCAGGGGAGCAAACGGG
rnacentral:rRNA from 1 species